rnacentral:rRNA from 1 species
GACGAACGCUGGCGGCGUGCUUAACACAUGCAAGUCGAACGAAGAGCGAUGGAAGCUUGCUUCUAUCAAUCUUAGUGGCGAACGGGUGAGUAACGCGUAAUCAACCUGCCCUUCAGGAUGGGGACAACAGACGGAAACGACUGCUAAUACCGAAUAAGUUCCAAGAGCCGCAUGGCCCAUGGAAGAAAAGGUGGCCUCUACCUGUAAGCUAUCGCCUGAAGAGGGGUUUGCGUCUGAUUAGCUGGUUGGAGGGGUAACGGCCCACCAAGGCGACGAUCAGUAGCCGGUCUGAGAGGGUGACCGGCCACAUUGGGACUGAGACACGGCCCAAACUCCUACGGGAGGCAGCAGU